GAAAGCCAAUCAACCAAUCGCAGGCGACCCAACAUGGCCGCAGUGAUCUCACCGGAAAAGCAUAUUUUUGACCAAGGAGGGUUCUCAGGGUGACGCGUUCUUUGGUGUGGAUGCUGUGUAGACGAUAGUACAGCCAGAAACAUAAAACAUCCCCCACAGCUGUUUAUCUACUGCUGGAACUGUUCUAGACUGGUGGCAAGAGAAAUGAGAAAAUACAACAUCAGAGUUCUCGGGUUAUGCGAAACCAGAUGGAAUGGAAGUGACCAGACUAACAUCAGGAGAAACCAUUAUUCUGGCCACAAAGACCCGAACCAUGAUCAGUAAUAAACCAGUCAAAAUGAUGGUCAUUUCAAGAAA